ensembl:miRNA predicted gene, 22328
AUUUUGAUGUAUAAAGCGUUUUAAUGUCUUCUGAGCAGACCCUGGCUUUUCUUAAGUUUUAUAUAUUGGAAAGCCCGUGUUUAUAUUGGACUUGUUGGUUUCUUUCAUACUG